AGCACUCAUACAAUAGUUCCCGAAGACAACAGCUUACAGCUAAACAUUAAAUGAAAUGCAAAAUCAUCUAGUGCAUUAUGCAUUCAGCAAUCACGAACAAAGCAUAAUGCCAAUCAGAAAUUUUCAAUAGGUAUGCCAAAAAAAUGAAUUCUACGGUGCAAUAUAGCAUCAAGAAAAGUAAAUAUACAAUGAAUAAUAGAUGUAAA
rnacentral:misc_RNA from 1 species